UACAGGGGUCUCAAGCGUUGUUCGGAUUCAUUGGGCGUAAAGGGUGCGUAGGCGGCGCGGUAAGUCGGGUGUGAAAUCUCGGGCUUAACUCCGAAACUGCAUUCGAUACUGCCGUGCUUGAGGACUGGAGAGGAGAGUGGAAUUUACGGUGUAGCGGUGAAAAUGCGCAGAUAUCGGGAGGAACACCAGUAGCGAAGGCGGACU
rnacentral:rRNA from 1 species